rnacentral:lncRNA from 1 species
UGACUUGCCACUCACAAAUAUAUUUCUGUAGUCCUACUGCUUUUGCCUCUCAACACUCCUUGACCUUCUGCCUGGUAACAUCCCUCAACCCUCCUCCAGGAGAAUGUGGCUGCCAAAACUCUUCGCUGACACAUGUGGGUGAGACCUGUGCCCAGUGCUAACCCAGGAGUGAGAUCUUACCCAAGGCUGCUCCAGGGCUGGGCUGGGAUUGUAAAGCUAAAUGGAAGGAGCUACCAGCUAAAGACAAUGUUCUUCCUUUUUCUUAAAAGAAGGCAAAGAAGGAUUUUGGCUGCAUAAAGGGCUUGUCGAUUUGAGGUCUGCACUGCUCCCUCAGAUGAUGCUCAGGUCUCCUCCAAAAAUGCUGCCCCCCCCCCGUAGACUCUGAUGAUGACAAACAGUCUGCACUUCUCAGCCAUGAUUAUGGGCCAGGGAGCCCAGCAGAAGGGUCUCAGACUCUAUUGAGAGGGCAGAAGAGUUUUCUCUUAUGUCGACCAUUGCCGGAAGGUGAGGCCUACAAUCUCCCACUGAGGCUGGUGUAUGGAAGAGGGUAGUGGAGGGAGAAUCCCAGGGCACUAAAGAUGGGGAGGUGGCCCAAAUCCAGUAGUUACCCUGCUUUUGGAUGUGUCCAUACUAGAGUUAAUUCAUCUCCAUAUAAUUUGAGACGGUUAAGUAUGGUUGCUGGUCUAUAAAAUGGAAAACCACUCACCUUUCUGGAGGCAUGGUUGUAUAGUGUUCCCGGUUCUGAAAUGAACAUUUGAUCACUACUCAGCCUUGGCUUCCAGCAAAGUCUGAUCUCCUAGCCAGGCCCAUGGCCCACCAUGGCCUAUAGUCUUGGCUAGAGCAACUUGUUUGUUUAGUUUUGUUUUACAUCUUUGAACUUUCACAAAAGUUUUCUGCUGCUGGAAUCCGACCUCACCUCUUUGGUGCA